rnacentral:rRNA from 1 species
ACUCCUACGGGAGGCAGCAGUGGGGAAUAUUGCACAAUGGGGGAAACCCUGAUGCAGCCAUGCCGCGUGUGUGAAGAAGGCCUUCGGGUUGUAAAGCACUUUCAGUAGGGAGGAAGGUAGUGUAGUUAACACCUGCAUUAUUUGACGUUACCUACAGAAGAAGCACCGGCUAACUCCGUGCCAGCAGCCGCGGUAAUACGGAGGGUGCGAGCGUUAAUCGGAAUUACGUGGGCGUAAAGCGCAUGCAGGCGGCCUGUUAAGUCAGAUGUGAAAGCCCGGGGCUUAACCUCGGAAUUGCAUUUGAAACUGGCAGGCUAGAGUCUUGUAGAGGGGUAGAAUUUCAGGUGUAGCGGUGAAAUGCGUAGAGAUCUGAAGGAAUACCAGUGGCGAAGGCGGCCCCUGGACAAAGACUGACGCUCAGAUGCGAAAGCGUGGGAGCAAACAGGAUUAGAUACCCCUGGUAGCGACUGA